rnacentral:rRNA from 1 species
CAUGCCUAACACAUGCAAGUCGAACGGAGAUUACUCGGUAAUCUUAGUGGCGAACGGGUGAGUAACGCGUGGGCAACCUGCCCUCUAGAUGGGGACAACAUCCCGAAAGGGGUGCUAAUACCGAAUGUGACAGCAAUCUCGCAUGAGGAUGCUGUGAAAGAUGGCCUCUAUUUAUAAGCUAUCGCUAGAGGAUGGGCCUGCGUCUGAUUAGCUAGUUGGUGGGGUAACGGCCUACCAAGGCGAUGAUCAGUAGCCGGUCUGAGAGGAUGAACGGCCACAUUGGGACUGAGACACGGCCCAGACUCCUACGGGAGGCAGCAGUGGGGAAUCUUCCGCAAUGGGCGAAAGCCUGACGGAGCAAUGCCGCGUGAGUGAUGAAGGAAUUCGUUCCGUAAAGCUCUUUUGUUUAUGACGAAUGUGCAGGUUGUGAAUAAUGACUUGUAAUGACGGUAGUAAACGAAUAAGCCACGGCUAACUACGUG